AUUGAACGCUGGCGGCAGGCUUAACACAUGCAAGUCGAGCGGGGUGAUGGUGCUUGCACUAUCACUUAGCGGCGGACGGGUGAGUAAUGCUUAGGAAUCUGCCUAUUAGUGGGGGACAACAUCUCGAAAGGGAUGCUAAUACCGCAUACGUCCUACGGGAGAAAGCAGGGGAUCGCUUGUGACCUUGCGCUAAUAGAUGAGCCUAAGUCGGAUUAGCUAGUUGGUGGGGUAAGGGCCUACCAAGGCGACGAUCUGUAGCGGGUCUGAGAGGAUGAUCCGCCACACUGGGACUGAGACACGGCCCAGACUCCUACGGGAGGCAGCAGUGGGGAAUAUUGGACAAUGGGGGGAACCCUGAUCCAGCCAUGCCGCGUGUGUGAAGAAGGCCUUAUGGUUGUAAAGCACUUUAAGCGAGGAGGAGGCUCUUUUGGUUAAUACCCAAGAUGAGUGGACGUUACUCGCAGAAUAAGCACCGGCUAACUCUGUGCCAGCCGCCGCGGUAA
rnacentral:rRNA from 1 species